CCUACGGGACGCAGCAGUGAGGAAUAUUGGUCAAUGGACGCAAGUCUGAACCAGCCAUGCCGCGUGCAGGAAGACGGCUCUAUGAGUUGUAAACUGCUUUUGUACCGGGGUAAAAUGCCUUACGAGUAGGGUUUUGAAAGUACGGUACGAAUAAGGAUCGGCUAACUCCGUGCCAGCAGCCGCGGUAAUACGGAGGAUCCGAGCGUUAUCCGGGUUCAUUGGGUUUAAAGGGUGCGUAGGUUGUUUUAUAAGUUAGCGGUGAAAUACCGAUGCUCAACAUCGGGGCUGCCGCUAAUACUGUAGGA
rnacentral:rRNA from 1 species